rnacentral:lncRNA from 1 species
GGGGUCAAGUCACUUAGUACCAUUGGAGCUCAAAAUGAAACACAUAACAAUGAUUUAAAAGGCCAUAACAGUUUAGCCAGCAAGAGAAACCAAAACAGUCUACUAGUGAUCCAAACAACCACUUUACUUGCUUCAUUUCUACUUCAACUCACACAUAAGCUCAACCAAUGUCUAGCCAAGUGUCUUAGGCUUAAUUUAAGGUGCAAAAGAACCACAAAAUCAAGGAGAAACUUCUCCUUCCAAAACUGGUCAACCAAGAAGAAAGAAAAUAGUGCACAAGUUCACUUAUUUAACCAACCUUCAUCCUUUCAUGGUUUUCACUUAAAC